rnacentral:lncRNA from 1 species
ACUCCCCUCAUCCAAAUAAGUUCCAGCUUCUUCCAUGUGGAGAAAUAGCACCCCAGCUUCUUCCAAAUCCCUUGCGUUCCACGACAUUCACCCAGCACAAAGUCGAGAUCAACUUCUAAACAAAAUCCCCUGUUUCUCCGUGUUCAUCCUCAUCCUUCCCACGCUCACAUCCAAACUUCCCACAAAACAGAGUCCAGCUCCCCCUCGUGCCUGUGUUCAUCUUCCACCCGUCCGAGAUCCUCUCCACAUCCUCCUCCACAUUGAAGCCUCAUUAGUUUCUUCCAGAUUCUUCCCAGUGGAGCAAGGUUCAUCCGCAUUCUAGCUGCUCACCCGCGUGCAUCCCAUCGUCCCUUCAUCACGGAUCAAGCCAACAAAUGCAUCCGUUCCCAACAUCCCGAGCCUCACGGAAUCCCCAGUUCUGGGACCACUUCUAGCCAAAUCCAGUCAUUCCCAGCCUUCCCGUUCAUCAUUCAUGUGCAAGCUCAGCCCCUGUCCCACGAACAAAACCAAGCCAGCAGCCACCCUCUUCUUCCGGACUCCCAGCUUUUUCCAUGAUCCAUCUUCAUCCUGUCCGCGUAUGAUCCUCCUAGAUUUCCUAUCAAAUCCAGCACUCCAUCCUAUUUCUCCUCAUCCUCCCGAAUCAUCUAUGAUCGAGCUCAUCUCCCCUUCAUCCCGUUUAGCUUCCACAGUCUCCCCCUGCUUCGGAACAGAGCCAGGAUCUUCUGCAUCCAAGGAUCAAGUCGACUUCUUCCACCCGCGAAGGAUUCCUCCCAACAUUUCCUGCCUUCAGCGAUGCACCCCACGCGUCUAAAGGAAUUUCCGAUCCAGCUCCAACCUCUCUCGCGUCCGGGUAUCUCGUGUCCAGCUAGGAUGAGCAUCCCAAACAAAUCUCAGCAUCCAUUUGUUCUUAGCCGAAUCCAUCUGCCCAUCCACGGAUUCGAAGUCGUUCAGAUCACCUCUCAGCCGUCCGGCCAGCACCUCCGAUGCGUCCGAGGAUCAAGCAACAAUCCCUCAGCUUCAUCCAGCUUCGAUCCAUCCUUAUCGCCACAUGAAAUAGUGAAGAGAGAAAGAGGUUGCAGCCUAUAAAAAGCCCAGGCGUGAACAGAGGAGGCAUUCUUUUCUCACCCGAUCCCAUCCAUUAAUUCAUUUAUUUGGGAAGUCCCACGGAAGACAAAGAAGGGAGGAGAGGAUCAGAGGAGAAAGGAAGAGAAGAAGAGAUGCAAGCUUCCUGCGCUGCUGUCGUCCACCACUGCAUGGAAGCCUAAGCUCUUCUCUAGGGCUGAAUGCAGCCCUAACAAAGGGACACGGGUUUUGUUUAUUUAAUUUCAUGUUCUUGAAAUUAUAUAGGCACUCUUGCUCUUAAUAAAUAUCCUUUUAUCUCAUACUUAAAUUCUGUGAUUUUAAGUAUGAUGUUUAUACAAAUAUUUUUUAUAAUUAUUAAAGUAAAAAUAAGAUAGUUCAUGCCUAAAGAAGAUGCGGUGUGCUGCCACCUUAGAUUAGGGUAGACAUUUCAUGCUAACUGAAGAUGGACUAUGCCUAAAUUACUUUUGUAAAAUUUUAUUCAAAUGCUUAUUAGGCUUGUAGCCAAUUUGCAUAAUAAUCCAAGAAUGAAAUAAAUUACAAAUAAUCCUUGUUGCUAUGAUAGUGGUGAAUUUCUUGCCCUAGGUUCUCUCAACUGAUAUCAUUUUAAUUGCAUUUCCNNNNNNNNNNNNNNNNNNNNCAUGCUAACUGAAGAUGGACUAUGCCUAAAUUACUUUUGUAAAAUUUUAUUCAAAUGCUUAUUAGGCUUGUAGCCAAUUUGCAUAAUAAUCCAAGAAUGAAAUAAAUUACAAAUAAUCCUUGUUGCUAUGAUAGUGGUGAAUUUCUUGCCCUAGGUUCUCUCAACUGAUAUCAUUUUAAUUGCAUUUCCUAUUAAAUUAUUUAGUUCAAUAGUCUUCACAAAUUCUCUUUUUCAAAUAUUUUUAAGAAAACAAUUGUACCCCAAUCCCUGUGGAUCGAUACCCGUAAUUACUAUCCUACCAGAUACGUGCUAUUGCGUGGUCUUUAAAGUUGACUGUCAAUUUUUGGCGCCGUUGCCGGGGAUUGCUAACACGGUUGUUUUCUUUUUGUUUAUUUAUUUUUAUUUGUUUCUUUUUAGCAAUUGGAUACAUCCACUUUCUUAUAUUGCCAUAAUUUUUGAGAUGUACUAAUCAUUAUUUGUUUUGAUAGGAUUAUCGAAAAAAAAAGAAGAAAGAAGGAAUGAAUUUUGGACGACUAGAGGACACGUACGGAAAAGGUUUGAUCAAUUAGCCAGCUGCAAUUUUUGCUUGGUAACCUCUAAACCUCUCCUGUCUUUGAAUCCUUGUUGUGAUUGUUUGAUUUAAUUUGAGUAAGGCAUGUAUGAUUGCUUGACACACCACUUAAUAUAUCACGCACAUAGUAAGGGCAAUCACCCCAACAAGAUAAGAACUGGAUUUCAUCACCAGAUUCUUGCCCAAAUUAGGUGAAUCAAUUCUCACAUAGCUAUCACUUUAAUUAAAAUCAAUUAGACGUUGGCCCCUAGGGACAUUCAAGCUCAAUAGGACGAAGAUCACCGAAAGUUAUACCAAUUUCGUUCUAUGGCUCAGUUGAUGUCGAGGCAAGCUUUGUCCCUAUAAGGGAGAUAGUUCAUCUGUUCGAGGCAAGUGGUUUUUAAGUGGGACCUUUGCAACGCAUCGUGACCCCCCACUUACCUGGGAGCUUACCUGGUCAACUUAGUUUAUUAGACCGGAUUGGAGGCUUAGGUGCCCUCUUCAAACCAGUUAGGAGCUGUCUAGUGAUUUUAGGGCAAAUACAAGGAUUUGAUGUGUUUUUCUUUUAGUGCACGCUUGACUGUACUUGACUGAUCAGAAGAGUAUUAGUGUAUGCUAGGGUGUCUGAUAAGUGCUUAAUAAUCUAUAAUUUAGUUAUCUUUCUAUAGCACUUAUCAAUAUUCUUAAACUGAUAAGUACAUAUUUUACCAUGAAAUUGAAUAAUCAUUGAAAUAAAUUUAAAAUAUGGUAAGAAGUAAAUAAUUCUUUUCUUAAACCAGACUCUGAACUUGUCUCUCUCUUGGUGACGAUCUUUCAUGAAAACUACAGAAAAACAUAUAAGGAGGAGAUUGUUGACCCGAUUUAUUAACCUGAUGGAGUUGUAACCAUGCUAAGGUUAUAAUUAAAUAGGUUUUGGUCCUGAUUAGAUAAUUAUUUUUGUAUGAGGAAAAAGGUUUGAUUAACCCUUUUUAUUAAGUCACGGUCCUGUUUUUAGUCUUGUCAAGUCCGGUCUGAAGCAGUUCAGCAAGAAUUAAAUUUAAAUGACAUUGGGCUCGAGAACAAGUUUAAGCAAAUCAACGAUCAUGACCCACCUCAAAUUCAAAGCCAAUUCCCAACCAAUUCCUUGCCUGCCUUCAUAUAAAAUUUAUAAUUUUAAAACAAAAAAAUAAUAAUAAUAAUUAAAUAUCCACGAUUCACUGUUCAUAUGAACAGUGUCCCGUGAAAACACUGUUCAUAUGAACAGUGUUACAAAAAAUAUAUAUAUAUAAUAAAACAAAUGAAAACUCCACUGUUCAUCUUCUUCCCCCCUCCCCCGCAGUGCAUCACGGCCGAGAUUCCCGUCGAUUCUCUCGUUCCGGNNNNNNNNNNNNNNNNNNNNUCCACGAUUCACUGUUCAUAUGAACAGUGUCCCGUGAAAACACUGUUCAUAUGAACAGUGUUACAAAAAAUAUAUAUAUAUAAUAAACAAAUGAAAACUCCACUGUUCAUCUUCUUCCCCCUCCCCCGCAGUGCAUCACGGCCGAGAUUCCCGUCGAUUCUCUCGUUCCGGCCAUGAGAUAGUAUCGCCUAAGUGAUCCUCUAUGCAAUCCUCCACGAGGUGCAGCCAGCCUCCCGUUCCUCCGCCUCUUCAUCCGCCUGCGCCAGCGCCUCCGCACAGCGGCCAUUCCGAGGAUCCGAGACAACAUCGCGUCCCAGCAUAUCACGCUAUGGAUCUGGCCACCUUCUUCUUCCGCUCCUCCCAGCAUCGCGUCCCAGCCGCUCUCAGAGUCAGCCAUCCUUCCGCAUCAGGCGUCCGGUGAUCCCGCAUCCAUUCCUUCCACGGUCUAAAGAAAGAAAUCAUCCGGAGCGGUCCUCCCAGCCAUCCCACAACCAAAUCUCCUCCAUGAUCAAUGCUUCCAGCAUUCCAUGAGAUCAGGCAUGAGCCCAAGCAUCUAGUCGUCCCCCUCUUCCGGAUUUGAGCCAUCCAUCCGCGAUCUGUCCUCCGCUUCUUCUUCCUCGAUGCAUCCGGAGCCAGCCAUCACGUUGAUCCCGCGGCUCCUCCCAUCGAGUAUCCCGGAUUCGCAUCCCCACUAGCAUGCUCCCAAGGGAUCCAUCACCAGGUGAGAGGGUCUAUAUGAAGAAGCCAUCGGCAGGGAAGAGGAGGAGCUCAGUUGAGAAAAACAGGGGAGACCCCCUAUUUCGGUGAAAAGAAGAAGAAAGCCGAGAGGGAAGAAGAGAAAAAGAAAUAAAAAAAGAGAGAAAGGAGGGGGAGAGAGAGAGUAUUUUGGAUAUUUUGGAAAUAAUGGGAGGUGAAGACUUUCAUUUGAAGAUGGGAGGUCGUCCGGAAGCCAUGCUCGGCUAAACGUCUAGUCUAGGGCUGGAUGAAGCUCUAGCAAUGUAUCAGGGCAUUGUAGUUCUUAUUUUCUUUAUUAUUUUGGAGCUUGUUUAAAUUCUUAUCUUCAAUGAAAUAUUUUUUUUAUGAUAUUUAAACCUUGAGCAUGCCAUUUACUAUUCAUAUUUGCUAAAGUAGUCUAAGAUGAUCCAUGCCUAGGAAGAAGAGAUGUACUACACCCUAGGUUAGGAUAAUUAGGUAGACACUU